rnacentral:rRNA from 1 species
GACGGAGGGUGCUAGCGUUGUUCGGAAUCACUGGGCGUAAAGGGCGCGUAGGCGGGCGGUCCAGUCAGGGGUGAAAUCCUCCAGCUCAACUGGAGAACAGCCCCUGAUACUGACGGCCUCGAGGGGUGUAGGGGCAUGCGGAACUAAUGGUGGAGCGGUGAAAUGCGUAGAUAUCAUUAGGAACGCCGGUGGCGAAAGCGGCGUGCUGGACACCUUCUGACGCUGAGGCGCGAAAGCCAGGGGAGCAAACGGG